CAAAAUGUAGUUUAUAAAAACACUUCGCUUACACCGAAAAAAUGCCCCCACAGAGGCCAUUUUGA
rnacentral:tRNA from 1 species